UUAUUCAUUAUUUCAUUAUAACUGUUAACACACGUCAUAAUAAUAUCAAAUUAUAACGAAAACACGUGCGUUUUUAAACGUAUUAUGAAUCAUACCGCGAUUAUGCAUUCUCGAGUCAAGAGAUGAAACACGGAGGAAAAGGAGGAGAGGAAUGGAGAACCGUGUAUCGCAUAGCAAACGAGCCGAUAGGCUUUACGAGCAAAUCGAACCUUGGAAAACCGCUAGUUACUUUUAACACAGUGGUUCGCAACUACAGAAUGUUAUCAUAGCUGUUUUAGACAUAUUAUCGAUAAGUAUGUAAUUCCUAAACUGUUUUUUUUAUUCCUAGUUUAACUACUAUUUCUAUGUUAUAUUUCCUCGACUUUGUGAGCUCUAAAAUCAAGUGUUAAAUAUAAGAAAGGAAAACCUUUGAGUUAAUAACGUCAAAGGCGUAAUAACGCGCGUGUUUGCGUGUAGAAAUGAUCAUCUGCAUUUUCAUUUUUUCCAUACCGUGAAGAUUCAAGUUACUUUGAACAUGGUUCGAUAUAUGAAACUCAAAGUUUUUGACAAACGUUGAAUAUUGGUCUUCAAAAAAUUGAUAAAUGUUGGAGUCAUAGUAGAUUUCAAAGUUUAAGGAAGUUUAGUAGAUAUUAAACAUCUUAUAUGCUAUACAUAAUCUUAAUACUACGUACAUAUGUAUUUAAGUAUAUAUCUUAUGUACUAUAAGAUAUGUACUAUAUUGAGUACCCACUGAACUUUUAGAACCUUGAAUCCUAUCAAGACUUCCAAUACUUCCAAGACUUAUCAAACUUUUAAUCUUUUUAUAGCUAAUGAGAAUUGUUUUCCACAAAUGUACAUACCGUAGGAAACAAAAAAUUGAAUUUUAUUGAAUAUUAAUUUCAUAAAAUCUGUCUAAUGUGGAACCACAGCACUCACCUAUCUCUAUUUGCAAAAGGACUUACUAAAGCUCUAUGUCUGUGGUUAAAGAUUCAAGACCUAUCAAGAUUCAAAAUUGAUCGAGAUUUUCCAAGGCUGCAUCAUUACAUACACGUACACACACUGCCUGUCACGAAUGCACGCACGGUGUGCGCGCGGGUUGAACGUAACGACAACGACGUGGAACAAUUACAAACUAACCGUGAUUCCGCCAGACGGAAGAGACAGACCCCUUCGUUCAUCGGAUCUCUUUGUUCCCAAAAGGAUGUUAAUGAUCGGUGAACAAAGAUCUAUCUUCCGGCUUGCAUCGCUUCAUUAUCAGAAGCUAACCCCGUGUAUAGUCAGGACUAUAUCCGACACAAUGCUGUUUACGCUCAUCAAGAGACUACUCGUUCGGUCUCGCCGGGAAGGAAAAAAAAUGCAAUCGGGUAAACAGCCUUUAAAGCCGAAGCUUUCGUGACGUGUAAUUUUAUGCCGUAUAAAUCGCAAGAGAUAUUCACUUCUGUGGUUUUCUGGCGCGGAUACGCAACAGGGAACAGGGGUAAUACCGCGGUAAGGGUAAGAGAUUACACAGUGCACGUAGCCUUUUUUCCCCCUUACGUAAUAUCCACGGCACACGUGAAGGAAUUGAUGGAGCGAUCGUAACGAGGAAAAAGAUCUCAUCGACUCGUUCAAUCAGUGAUCCUUCGCGGGUUCAUCGAGAUUCAACAUUUAUUAAUAUUAAAUCUCUCGCAAUGUUUACCUCGUUUCUUUUUUUAAUCCUUUUUUCCCAUCUCAGAUAAGUUUCCAUGCUACACGUUUAUCGAAUAAUAAUCGCAAGUGAUUGGAAACCAUUAUAAAUCGUCUCGAAUGGGAAAAAAGAGAAAGCGGGAAGAAAGAGAGGAAUAAAAGGAUGAGGCAAGGGUAACGAGGGUGACAUGUCGCUUUGCGUUGAGCCUGUGUGCGCGAUCUACGUUCUUAUGUAAUAACGUGCAACACGUGAACGCGCGAUGAACUCGUUGGAAAGUUCGCGAGCUACAAUUUCUCCUACGCCAGAAAUGAUUCGUCCCACAUUUCUUUUUUCUUUUUCGAAGGUGAAAGACAUCUUCUUAGCAGAGAAGUGAUGGAGGAUGUUAUCGUUUAAUAAGCCCGAGAAUCUAAAUGAGGUCGUCCAUAAGAAACGUAGAGGUACAUUUACUGUUAGCUCGUAGAAAACGGUACUUCCCAAAAAGAUAGGAAGGAAAUACAGUUUUAUCGUGACUACAUUCCAGUCACGGCCGAUUGAUCGUAACUCUACUACGUGCAUUUCAUAAUACGAUUUUAUUUCGCGGUAACAUCUGUAAAUCUAGAGAUCAAAUGACAAACGAACCAUUUCCAUCAGAAGAGGAUAAGGAAGUGUUUGGAAGCCUGCAAAGUCGAAGAUUUCGUUCCAGCGUAAAAAUAAUCAUCGUCCCGUUGGAAGAAAAAUCAUACACGACAAGAUGGAGAAAAAAAAAAGAGGAAAAGAAUUCGCUGACUGGCUGCAUUCCAAUCAGUCGUAUCUUCUCCGUGCGUUGCACCUACACGCGAGUGCAACGCCUUUCAUUAAUGGGAUUCUUUAUUAACAGUGCCUAAUUUAAGGACUGGCUUCUGCGGCUUGAUAUUUAAUUUUCCGGCAAGGAAAAGCGCAGUGGAAAUCAAAGAAAUUACGCGAUUAAAAUCGAGUUCAGAGAAACAAUUCGCGAACAAUAAAAGCGAUGCAACGUAACACUCAACUUUCUCGUUACAAAGCGAACAAUGCAUUACAGGAAGAGUCCGUAACUAAUUCGAAUUUCGCAGCGGCGGUUGUUUCUAAGAAAAUAAGUAAAAAUGCAUUUAAAUCAGAGCCAACGACGUAGAAAAACGCACGAUGUAAUUUUGCAACGGAAUCAAAGCGACUCUGCACGCAACUUUGAUCAUCAAUAAUUAAGAACAAUCGCCGCCGCUCGUUACAGAUAAAUCGUCGACGGUAUUUUACACGAACUUCAUUGUUUAUCAUUAAAUACAUUUGCUACCGUGAUGCUACGUAUUUGUACGAAUAACAAAUUUAAAGUUAUGAAAUCUAAGCAGAAGAAAAAAUAUGUAGUAGAAUAAAUAUCAAACAAAUUCUUGGAAGUUUUUUCACAAUUACGAUAUCAAGAAAUUAAAUAAUGUAAUAAUGUAAAUAGGUUUAAAAAAAGAUUGUAAAUGAAAUACAUUAACGUUAGAAAAUGGAAAUAAAAA